UACGAAGGGGGCUAGCGUUGUUCGGAAUUACUGGGCGUAAAGGGCGCGUAGGCGGUGUGUCAAGUCAGGCGUGAAAGCCCCGGGCUCAACCUGGGAACCGCGCUUGAGACUGGCACGCUCGAGUUCGGGAGAGGAUGGUGGAGUUCCCAGUGUAGAGGUAAAAUUCGUAGAUAUUGGGAAGAACACCGAUGGCGAAGGCAGCCAUCUGGACCGACACUGACGCUGAGGCGCGAAAGCGUGGGGAGCAAACAGG
rnacentral:rRNA from 1 species